UGGCGGGCGAGGGAAACCCCGUCCAUCAGCGCACCAACCCAACUAAACUCUCGGCGCGGGAUGCGCCAAGGACUACUCAAACGGAUUGCUGGCCUCCCUGCGGUUUCCGCAGGGCGAGCUGCGCGUCUGGUCGUUUAACCAAAACGACUCUCGGCAACGGAUAUCUAGGCUCUCGCAUCGAUGAAGAACGUAGCGAAAUGCGAUACUUGGUGUGAAUUGCAGAAUCCCGUGAACCAUCGAGUUUUUGAACGCAAGUUGCGCCCGAAGCCAUUAGGCUGAGGGCACGUCUGCCUGGGCGUCACGCAUCGCGUCGCCAUCCCCCCUCCUCGCCCCGCGCGGGAAUGAGGGGGGUGACGGAUGUUGGCCUCCCGUGCCCCUAGGGGCGUGGCUGGCCUAAAUGCGAGUCCUCGGCCCGGGACGUCACGGCGAGUGGUGGUUGAACUCAUCAACUCGAGAGUCGUCGCGACGAUGCCCGACGGGGAACUCUCCGACCCUAGAGCUCUUCGCGAGCCUUCGACCGCGACCCCAGGUCAGGCGGGAUUACCCGCUGA
rnacentral:rRNA from 1 species